rnacentral:lncRNA from 1 species
AAAAAAUUGUGUGCAAGAUAUAGUAUUACACUAAAAAGAGUAUCCUGUGUUUUGAUUGGUCGGGUAGCCUUGCCCACGGAUCACGCCUCGUAACUGUCCGAUUUGCUUAGAUCGAACGGCUGCGGCUGCCCUAUCUUUUAUUCCCCUCUCUCCUUAUCCCUUCGCACCCACGCCUAGCGAUCGAAGCCGCCGCAAGUCACCGCCGCUAGCCUGGAGGCCUCAUGCCGCCACCGCUCGCCCCUUUCUCUGUAGGUCACCCACGCACCUGGGACCCGGGGCCGUUUCCUCCUCCCCACCAGGCUCGAGGAGGCCCGAGGAGGUGACCAUGAGGAGCGCGCAGCCGUCGGAGCCAUGGGUAGAUCCAGCCGGGACCGUCGGCAACCAUCCCUCCUUCCGGCGCCGAUGAAGAAUUGAAGAGGCUUGAGGAGAAUGGGCGCAUGGGCCGUGCGCGUCUCCCGCGCUAGGAGCCACCGGUCCUCGUCAUCUGCUAGGAUCCACGAGGAAUCGAUCCAUAUGUAAGCUAGCUUCCACCAUAAUCCAUCCAGCAGGCUGUUUGCUUGUUUGUUUACUAGUGGAAAGACAUGAUGCGAGGCCGGCGUCGUGGGUACAUGCCCGCUGCUAAUUGAUUCUCCUGCUAAUAAUAGUAGUAUGUGUUCUUGCCCGUGGUGGAGAUGUACAUACCUGAAUACUCGUCACAUAUCCGUACAUACUCGAAUACUCUCAAACUGGCACGUAUACAUAUAUAUAUAUAUACCCGAGUACCUGUGCAUUUUUUUAAUUCAGCUAAACAGGUCUACAGAGUGUCAAUCUUGGCAAAGGCUUGCUUUGCUCCUUUGCCUAGUGUUGCACUCGGCAAACUCCGACCCGUUAGAUUGGUUAGUAGAGAUUGUGAGAGCAACACGAACAUCUACUUUACUGACAGGGAAUGUAGGUGUAAUACAUAGUGGUUUUCAUGGUAAAGGUUCUAGUAGAUGUAUGGUCAUUUUAGUGUAGUAUAUCCCAAUAAUCACUAUGAAAAUACAGCAGAAGCUCGUCUGUUCAUUUCCAGUUUAAUUAUUGUAUUUCUCAUAUAUCUCAAUCUCAUCUGCGAGUUUGAUAUAAUCAAAUGGGUGAUAGCAUCACCUUGUACUAAGUACCCAUCCUGGUUACUUUUUUAUUUAGGUAAAUGUAAGAUACCAUCAUCUUUUACCAAGUAUUCAUCCUGGUUACAUUAUGUGCAAAAUAGGUUCUACAUUUAAUUACAAAUUUGUUGAAUAUGUGGUUUUACCGCGUGCUUAUAGCCUGUACCUUUUGGUUGUACAUCUAUUUCUGUCUCAAGUUAUUUAUCUCUUACAGAAUGUUUGCGAGGAGCUCGGUUAGUGUUGAUGCCUCAAGGGUUUAUGCAUGUCAGUUCCAUGUUGCUUAAAGCCACUGUAACCAUGGCUACUGGUUUUCAGGUAUAUGUUUAUGCAGUCAUAACACGCUUGUUGACAACUCAUAUGGAAUGUUUAUAUUAUUUAUAAAUUUCCCAUGGAAUGUCUACUGUUAAAAAACAUCUUGCGGGUACUUUAGUUAGGUACUAGAAAGCACAUACACACGCACAUGCCCAGCACAACCACAAGCACACAAUACAUCACAACACAUAUGUUCCACACAUACAUCACAACACAUAUGUUCUGCUUUUGACUUCUCAAUGGUAUGAUGAUGCUUUGCUCUGCCACUCUAAUUUUUUUGCAUUGGGGCACUUUGCAUGUGCUUGCUCCUGUGUAGUUGUUCUGCUCUGUCCACAUAAUGUCCAGAUACAACAAGUUAAUCUUGAUUCGUACAAGAGCUAAGUAGAGUUGUCUCAACUCUUUUUUUUUAGGUUGUUUACCACACGUUUGCCACGUGGUGAUUGUUGAAACUCUAAAUACAAAUAGCGCAACAGUUUACUGCUAUGUAGUAUUAAAUGGGAUUAUCUAGGCAAAUGCACGGAUCACAGAAGAUCCCAUUGACCAGUGAAAAGUAAAUAACCUUUUUGACUUUUGCUCCCUUUGCUUCAGCGGUUCAGCCACAUCCCUGCGGCUUCUCUCUCUCUCUCUCUCCCCCUCCUCUCUCUCUCUCUCUCUCCCCCUCCCCCUCUCCCUCUCUCUCUCUCUCUCUCUCUCUCUCUCACUAUUCUGCACUUCAAACACAACGAUGUAGGAUGAGGCAAAGUACGCAGGUAACAUGAAAAAUACAUGAAAACAAGGCAAAUUUUGGUGUUGUAAUUUAUAGAUACCUCUUGGUUACUUUGUUUCAAAAUAAAUAAUUAAAUUUUGGCUGGCAUUUUCACCAAUGUAGCACCCAAAAAAAAUCAUCUUUGAUGGAUUGAAUACAACAGAAGUUCUAUGCAGUUCGAUUGGUAAUUGUUCGUUCGUCAUCAUAUAAUUCAACAUUUUGCUCUCGGGCUAUCUAUGUGAUAUGUCUAUGUUAUCAACUCUUUAUUAGUAAAAAUAGUACCUAUUUUGCCAUAUCCAUGGUCAAUUCCUAUAUUUUUUCUUGGAAAAAUUCCUACAUAUUCCAUAGACCAUGUUGCAUUUUAGAAUUUCGUUCAAUGUUCGGCCCCCCUUAUGUAUAAUUCCUGGCUCCGCCGUUGCGCCUAACACAUGCGUGCAGGUGUGGGCAUCCCUUUAUUAGUCCCACUUGCAGUCUGAAUGUGUAUCCCUAAGAAAGUGAAUGGUCAUGAUAGUCUUCCUGAACUAUGCCUAUGUGUAUCCAUUGAAGUAAUGUUCAUGCAAAUACUAUAAUUAUCGUUGUUGAAUAAUAAUAUUGAUCAUAAUAUAGGUCGCAUCCAAAGUAGUUUUAAAGACUUUAACAAAUCCAAACCAGCGAAAUGUUGCAUAUGCUACUAUUCAGAGUAUUGAUCUAGAAACUAAGGUUGGUGAUAUUUAGUUAGGUGCCGAAUUUGCACUUGUGUGCAUAGAUGAACCUAUUCUGGAUAAUGAGGAGUUAGUAAGGUAAGUCUCUGAUUGCAAGAGAAUUGGUGAUGCUUUUGCUUCAGGAUACUUAAUUGUCCAACCUCUAGCUUUUGUAAGUCGGAGUCUUUUCUUCCAUAUUCCACAAUUAUAUUUGUGUGCAUUUAAUCACAUAACUGUAAGGUCCAUUUUCCUUUUACAGAUUCAAAAGAAGCAUAAUGGAGUUGCAGCUGAACCGUUCUUCUGUUGGAUGAAGAAGCAAAUGUAAUUAGAAGAUUUUACUUAGCAAUAAUUGUAGUUUGCAUUGAUAGAUUGAAAAAUGUAACACCAUUCAGAAGAUCUUUUUCUUUGGUCGAAUUGAUGCAAAUGCUAUGGUGUAAUAUUCUCCAUAGAUGUGUUCUCUAUAGUAAAAUAUAUAUGAAUGAUAUGCUGUCUAGCCAAUAACAUUGGUAUGUAUUUAUUGUAAUGCAUAUGUAUCCUACACUCGUAUAUUCAUAAUAAAUACCUUGAUAUUUUCAAUUUGUGUA